rnacentral:ncRNA from 2 species
AAGAAUGCCCCGUUUUUUGAAAUGGGUUCUAUUCCCAAACCGUGUAUACAUACCUUUGUUGCUUUGGCAGGCCGCCUUCGGGCGUCGGCUCACGCUGACCGCGCCUGCCAGAGGACCCAAACUCGUUUGUUUAGUGAUGUCUGAGUACUAUAUAAUAGUUA